rnacentral:misc_RNA from 1 species
GAUGAAGAACGCAGCGAAAUGCGAUAAGUAAUGUGAAUUGCAGAACUCAGUGAAUCAUCGAAUCUUUGAACGCACAUUGCGCCCCCUGGCCUUCCGGGGGGCAUGCCUGUUCGAGCGUCAUUACAACCCUCAAGCUCAGCUUGGUGUUGGGCCCCGCCGCCCCGGCGGGCCCUAAAGUCAGUGGCGGUGCCGUCCGGCUCCGAGCGUAGUAAUUCUUCUCGCUCUGGAGGUCCGGUCGUGUGCUCGCCAGCAACCCCCAAUUUUUUUCAGGUUGACCUCGGAUCAGGUAGGGAUACCCGCUGAACUUAAGCAUAUCAAUAAGCGGAGGA